UUUUAAAUGGCCGCAGUAUUUUGACUGUGCAAAGGUAGCAUAAUCAAUAGUUUUUUAAUUAAAAGCUUGUAUGAAAGGCUGGACGAGGUAAGAUCUGUCUCUAUUUAAAUUAAUAUAGAAUUUAACUUUUAAGUUAAAAGGCUUAAAUAUAGUUAAAAGACGAGAAGACCCUAUAGAUCUUUAUAAUUUGUUAAUUAAAGUUGAUUUAGAAAUAUUAAUGUUUUAUUUAAUUAAAUUAUUUUAUUGGGGUAAUAGAAAGAUUGAAUUAAUUCUUUUUUGUAAUAAACAUUAAUUUAUGAAUGUUAGAUGAUCCAGUUUUACUGAUUAUAAGAUUAAGUUACCUUAGGGAUAACAGCGUAAUUUUUUUAGAGAGUUCAUAUCGAUAAAAAAGCUUGCGACCUCGAUGUUGGAUUAAAGAUUAUUUUAGGUGUAGAAGCUUAAUAAUUUUGGUCUGUUCGACCAUUAAAUCUUUACAUGAUCUGAGUUCAGACCGGCGUAAGCCAGGUCGGUUUCUAUCUUUAAUACAAUAGAAUAUUUUAGUACGAAAGGACCAAAUAUUUGAUAUAUUUAUAUUUGAUUAAUUGAAUAUUA
rnacentral:rRNA from 1 species